rnacentral:rRNA from 1 species
UACGUAGGGGGCUAGCGUUGUCCGGAAUCAUUGGGCGUAAAGCGCGUGUAGGCGGCCCGGUAAGUCCGCUGUGAAAGUCGGGGGCUCAACCCUCGGAUGCCGGUGGAUACUGUCGGGCUCGAGUACGGAAGAGGCGAGUGGAAUUCCUGGUGUAGCGGUGAAAUGCGCAGAUAUCGGGAGGAACACCGGUGGCGAAGGCGGCGACCUGGGUCGAUACUGACGCUGAGGUGCGAAAGCGUGGGGAGCGAACAGG